rnacentral:rRNA from 1 species
AUGAACACCAAAUCUAUUUAUCUAACAUGUUUUGCAUGUUUUGUCGAGUGCUUUCCUGUGUUUUUAUCUAUGGUCUUUUUUAUCAUAUCUAAUAUCCAGCAUUAUACCAUGUCUCACAGAAUUGCUGAUUCUGCACAUACACCUACUUAUUUUACUUCUGUGACAUGCGGUACAAUUUUUCUCUGGGAUAGGCGAGGCGAUGAUCCAAAAAAUUGGAAAGAAUGGUGCUCCCAUGUUCUCUCUUAUCCAGGAAAAUCAAUACAGCAAAAUAAGAGGGACAUGUUUGUUGCAUUUGAAGGUGUACUUAUGAGUGCAAGGGAGCCUCGAGGAUUUGGGUUUGUCCAGUACUUCAAUCCUGAUGAUGCUGCAGAUGGAAAAUACUACAUGGACGGACAGGUUAUUUGUGGCAAACAAGUAACAGUUUUAUUUGCAUAA